rnacentral:rRNA from 1 species
UUCCGGUUGAUCCUGCCGGAGGCCACCGCUAUUGGGGUUCGGCUAAGCCAUGCGAGUGGAGGGCGUCCCGCGAGGGAUGGCCCCGCACACGGCUCAGUAACACGUAGUCAACUUACCCUCGGGACGGGGAUAACCUCGGGAAACUGAGGACAAUCCCCGAUAGGUGAGGGACGCUGGAAUGCCCCCUCACUCAAAUCCUCCGGGGCCCGAGGAUAGGACUGCGGCCUAUCAGGCUGUUGGUGGUGUAACGGACCACCAAACCUACAACGGGUACGGGCGAUGGGAGUCGGAGCCCGGAGAUGGGGACUGAGACAAGGCCCCAGGCCCUACGGGGCGCAGCAGGCGCGAAAACUCCGCAAUGCGCGAAAGCGUGACGGGGGAACCCCAAGUGCCGUUGGUCCUUUGAUCGACGGCUUUUGUGGAGUGUAAGAAGCUCCACGAAUAAGGGCUGGGUAAGUCGGGUGCCAGCCGCCGCGGUAAUACCCGCAGCCCGAGUGGUGGUCGCGAUUAUUGGGCCUAAAGCGCUCGUAGCCGGGCUGGCAAGUCCCUUGUGAAAUCGGGCGGCCUAACCGUUCGGCUGGCAAGGGAUACUGCCGGCCUUGAGGCCGAGAGACGUCAAGGGUACUCCGGGGGUAGCGGUGAAAUGCUCUGAUCCUCGGGGGGACCACCAUUGGCGAAGGCGCUUGACGAGAACGAACCUGACGGUGA